CUACGGGCGGCACCAGUGGGGAAUGUUGCACAAUGGGCGCAAGCCUGAUGCAGCCAUGCCGCGUGUAUGAAGAAGGCCUUCGGGUUGUAAAGUACUUUCAGCGGGGAGGAAGGGAGUAAAGUUAAUACCUUUGCUCAUUGACGUUACCCGCAGAAGAAGCACCGGCCAACUCCGUGCCAGCAGCCGCGGUAAUACGGAGGGUGCAAGCGUUAAUCGGAAUUACUGGGCGUAAAGCGCACGCAGGCGGUUUGUUAAGUCAGAUGUGAAAUCCCCGGGCUCAACCUGGGAACUGCAUCUGAUACUGGCAAGCUUGAGUCUCGUAGAGGGGGGUAGAAUUCCAGGUGUAGCGGUGAAAUGCGUAGAGAUCUGGAGGAAUACCGGUGGCGAAGGCGGCCCCCUGGACGAAGACUGACGCUCAGGUGCGAAAGCGUGGGGAGCAAACAGGAUUAGAUACCCCAGUAGUC
rnacentral:rRNA from 1 species